ACGAAUCCGAACAUUAUACAAAUAUUUUGAUCUAAUGGCUAAUAAAACCAAUAUAACCAUCAUAAUUAUAUAUUUUGGAUAUGUAUUAUAUACUCAAAACUUAAAUUUGUACACUACUACAAACUAAGCCUUUAGAGGCACUUUUUUUUUCAGCAAAUAUUAAAGAACCGACGUCAUAGGGUUGGAAUUUUUUGGAAGGGAUUUUGACACCACCUAUGGCGUCGGUUAUUAUGAAAUAACCGACGGCAUAGGGUGUCCCCCCUAUGUCGUCGGUUAUUUCUAAAAACACCGACGCCUAAAGGGUUUAUAACCCUAGCCCAGCCCAUCAUCUUCCUCAUUCGACCAGCCUACCCAGAAACCCCCAAACCAGAGAACCCCAAACCCUCUCUGCCAACCACCACGAAAAACCACCCCCAUUUCACCAUUUUUUCACCAUUUUAGCUCAUUUUUGUUUCUAAAUCUUCUAUUUUUCAUACCUAAAACUAUAUACCUGAAAAGUUCACAUUUUUCCUCAUUUUUUAGGGUAAACCGAAGGUAGAGGUAGUGGUGGUGGUGGUUAUACCUCCGGCCACCGUUUUUAGUGGAGAAAACAUUGUAUUUCAACGUCUAUUAAGGUUGUGAGGUCAAUUUGCAAGGAUCUGACUUAUUUGGUAUUGAUCGGUUUCUAGUUAGCUCGAGGAUUUUAUCGGAAGUGACUUUAUCGGAAGAGAAGUACAUAAUUUUUGGUAUAAGGUAUGCUUUCUUUAACCUACUUUUAUAAGAAUAUUUUUUAUAUAUAUUUAGAUAAUCGUUAAAUGCUUAGAAUAAUUUUAGAAUAAUAUUUAUGUAAUACAUAGGAUAUAUAUUGUUGAGUGCUAAGGAUAGAUAUAGUAAGCUAUAAAAAAAAUACAAAAAAGGGUCUACAUUGGGAUUUGAACUUGUGACCAAAAAGAUAGAUUGAUAAGUCUAUACCAAAACACAAUAGAAUUAACAAAUACAUUAUAAACAUUGAUUCUAAUACUUAAAAUAAGAAUUCUAUUAGUUUAUGUUAAGUAAAAUAGCAAAAUAAAACACAAAAAAUACCCAAGUUCAAAAAUUAAAAAAAAAAAUCGCCUCAAGCGAACAACAGGAUCAAAAGUUAUUAAUGUUCAAAGUUUUAAAAAAAAUUCAUGCAAAUUUUAGCCCUUUAUCUACAAAAAUACAAUACACUACAAAAAUGAUACUAAUAUAAUAAAAAAAAUUAUAAAAAUAUACUAAUAUACUACAAAAAUACAAACACAUAAUAUAAAAUAUUAAUAAAAAGAUAGCUGAUAUACAAACACUUAGAGUAAUGUAGAUGUGUAUUUAUUCAACUUCUCAAUUUAAUUUGUAUUUAUGGUUAUUAUAUAUAAUUUAUACUUAAUUUAAUUAUAUUAAUAAUAAAAUAAUAUAUAUAUAUAUAUAUAAAUUAUGCCAAAAUACAAAAUUGAAAGUUGAAAAAAAAC